UCGAGAAUCAUUCGCAAUGGGCGAAAGCCUGACGGUGCGACGUCGCGUGGAGGAUGAAGGUCUUCGGAUUGUAAACUCCUGUCAUGUGGGAUAAAUGGCCAGGAGACGAAUAGUCUCUUGGAAUGAUAGUACCACAGGAGGAAGAGACGGCUAACUCUGUGCCAGCAGCCGCGGUAAUACAGAGGUCUCGAGCGUUGUUCGGAUUUACUGGGCGUAAAGGGAGCGUAGGCGGUUCGGUAUGUCGAAUG
rnacentral:rRNA from 1 species